GACGAACGCUGGCGGCGUGCUUAACACAUGCAAGUCGAACGGAAAGGCCCUGCUUUUGUGGGGUGCUCGAGUGGCGAACGGGUGAGUAACACGUGAGUAACCUGCCCUUGACUUUGGGAUAACUUCAGGAAACUGGGGCUAAUACCGGAUAGGAGCUCCUGCUGCAUGGUGGGGGUUGGAAAGUUUCGGCGGUUGGGGAUGGACUCGCGGCUUAUCAGCUUGUUGGUGGGGUAGUGGCUUACCAAGGCUUUCACGGGUAGCCGGCCUGAGAGGGUGACCGGCCACAUUGGGACUGAGAGACGGCCCAGACUCCUACGGGAGGCAGCAGUGGGGAAUAUUGCACAAUGGGCGGAAGCCUGAUGCAGCAACGCCGCGUGCGGGAUGACGGCUUUCGGGGUGUAAACCGCUUUCGCCUGUGACGAAGCGUGAGUGACGGUAAUGGGUAAAGAAGCACCGGCUAACUACGUG
rnacentral:rRNA from 1 species